CUGAUAUUUCUAACGUCAUCCCACCUACCUCUCGCUGCAAAAAUGUUUGAUAGCAAUAUAUAACUCGAAUCCCCCUUGGGUUCAAGUUCAAAGAGUUUCUCAGCGGCUCGUUUACCAAAGUCGACAUUCCCAUGCAAUUUACAUGACCCAAGAACUGUCUCCCAGAUCAAAGAAUAUGGGCUUAGCUUCAUUUCCUCAAUAUAAAUAUCAACCUCAUUG
rnacentral:misc_RNA from 1 species